rnacentral:lncRNA from 1 species
GACGGCCCCGGGGCGGCUCGUCGACGGCGUGCGGCACCGUCGACGGCUAGCAGCACCGGCUUCCUCCCCCCUCACCGCGUCCCCAGACUGGCCGGUCAGCCUGCGCGGCUGUACCGUGCCCGCCACCCGUCGCCGCCGUGCCCGUCUCGCCAUCGCCCUGCCGCCCCAGUCAGCUCCUCCACGCAGUCACACGCGCGCCGCCCGCCCAGCUCGGCAGCCGCCAGCGGCACGCGCCCUGCGCGGCCAGCCGACCGCCGCGGCACCAGCGAUCCCUCCAAAAGCAGGCAGGCUACCAGGCUCCAGUCCACCGGCCGGCCACACGCCAGCGAUGCCGCCCGGUCGUCGGAGUCCGACGAAGCGAAGCCAGAAGAAGCUGAAGUGAGGGAGCAAAGAGGGCCUUAG